rnacentral:rRNA from 1 species
AGUGAACGCUGGCGGUAGGCCUAACACAUGCAAGUCGAACGGCAGCACAGUAAGAGCUUGCUCUUACGGGUGGCGAGUGGCGGACGGGUGAGGAGUACAUCGGAAUCUACUUUUUCGUGGGGGAUAACGUAGGGAAACUUACGCUAAUACCGCAUACGACCUACGGGUGAAAGCAGGGGAUCUUCGGACCUUGCGCGAUUGAAUGAGCCGAUGUCGGAUUAGCUAGUUGGCGGGGUAAAGGCCCACCAAGGCGACGAUCCGUAGCUGGUCUGAGAGGAUGAUCAGCCACACUGGAACUGAGACACGGUCCAGACUCCUACGGGAGGCAGCAGUGGGGAAUAUUGGACAAUGGGCGCAAGCCUGAUCCAGCCAUACCGCGUGGGUGAAGAAGGCCUUCGGGUUGUAAAGCCCUUUUGUUGGGAAAGAAAAGCAGCAGGUUAAUACCCCGCUGUUCUGACGGUACCCAAAGAAUAAGCACCGGCUAACGUCG